GUUUGGAAGUAUGUGGCACCGCCCCACCCCUUCCUCCGGCCAUGUAAGACCUGCCUGCUUCCCUUCCACCAAGACGCUCGUACUCCCUGGGGCUGGCUGGACCGGGCCUCUGCUCCAAGUCCCCACCCUCCACCCUCAGCCAACCACACAGUGGUGCUGCCCACCCUGAGCCCCAGGGAGCCAGGGCCUGUGCUUUCACUGGGAUGCAAAUCCUUCUGCUCCCUCUAGCUCAGAUUCCCAACUCCAGCCCAGCCCCAGCCCGGGAGGCCCAGCCCGUGGCUGGGUGAACAAACACACAAACAACACAGGACAAGCUGUGGGGAAAAGGCUCCGCAGCCGCCUGUGCUCAGGGCUGAGUUGGCUCAGGGACAGCUGGGCCAAGGCUCUAGACUCUGCCAGGGAUGGGAGCGGCUCACACAGCUGCAGGGAAGAGGAGUCCAGGAGGCCCUGGAAGGCCCGGGGAAAAGCCAAGGCAUAGGCCACAAAGGCUGCCCGCUCGCCUGGGUGCGGCUCCUGCACCCCCAGCCCCAGGUGGGCACACACGGGCUCCAGCCACACCUGGGCUUUGGCUGCCAGGUCCACCCCAGGGCCCUCACCAGCUGCUGGUGCCAACAUCUGUGGAACAGAGUCGGUGACGAAUGGGGGCCAGGAAUGCAGUAUGAGGCCUGGGAGCAGCCAGGGACACCCUAGUUUGAGGGCAAAGGUAAUGCAGCCCGUGCCAGCUUCCUGGGAUAGCACUGGGGUGACCUGACUGGGUGGCACACCGCUCGCCAGAGAAAGGGCUGGCUUGGGGCCUGUCGCCUGGAGACAGCAGGGUUGAGAGGAGGGACUGACCGGGUCAGGGGGCACCUCGCUGCCUGAAAAGGAAGUGACGAAGGAGUGGGCCAGGGUCCCGGCCACCGGCACACCUCGCAGCUGGCCCGCUAGCACGUUGCUGCUGCUGUCGAAGCCUGGAGAGGAAGGCGGUGGGAUUGGGGGACUUCGGGCCAAGACGGGGCUCCUCCUUCCCGGCCCUUGCCUUGCCCCGCACCAGACACUCACCGCCCAGGUAGCUGUAGGUGGAGGCUGUCAGGCCCCCAUCGGGGCCCUGAGCCCGCCUCAGGCCCAUCUCUAGCAGCCGCUUCUCUGGCCCUGCGAUCAAGCGAAGCCGCGCUGCGUUGGUGGCCACCA
rnacentral:antisense_RNA from 1 species